rnacentral:lncRNA from 7 species
GGAAGUUUGAGAUGACAGUGACAGAUGGAAGCACAGUUCUUGGCAAGUGGUUGGAGCUCUAGGUGGGGUAGGUGACAGGGGCAAGUGAACAUGCUAGAGAGGGAGUGGAGGUGAAUCUCUUCCAGAUUUGUCUUUGCUGGCAUACAGAAAGCCAGAGCUGCCACUCCACCCCCUGACUUCUCUUGCAAGAUGAAUAUGUGCUCAGUGAGAUCUCUGCUGGUGCAAACCGUUGUACUCCAGGAACAUACAUGAGAAGACACACUCCUCUGACCUCCCUUGAGUCUGCUGAAUUCACACAACUUUUCUGGAAACAAACAUUUUUGAAUUAAAGCCCUGCUUAAGAAAUUACGCUGAUUGAGAUGUUCACAGUGCCCUCCUUGUCAAUAUCCUCCUUUAAGUCUUUACUUGGAACACAGGUGGAAAUAAAAGUAGAUGAAUACAAGUGACAGAAAAAUAAAGACUUGGUAGGACUGAAACACAGACUGAGCAGCUGAAACCAGUGGUCCCACAUACACUGGAAAAGGUGUGUUUCACACACUAUUAGCUGAAACCACCUGUAGCCAUCUUGAGUAUGCAAUCACACCAAGUCUUCGUGUAACAGAGCUCUCAGAAUAGCUGCUGCAGAGAGACUGAAGAAUCAUUGGAAGAGUAAGAAUCUUUCAGAACACGGGCAUCUGGCAAGAAAAGUAUUUACAACAGCAUUAUUUCAACAGAAGAGAAGGAUUGCUCAAGGAAGCAGGAGAGAAGAGUACCCAUUCCCAGAGGUGUUCCAGAACCAUGGAGAUGUGGCUCUGAGGAACACGCAACUACAUGUAAUGGGAUAUUGGUGAGAAGGUCAAACCUCUACUGCCAUACCACCAACAUCUGUCUCUGGCUCCACAGAGCCAUGAGCGUCUCAGCAGCACACAAUGAAUAGGUAUCACUGCUGCAAGGAGGAGGAAGAGGAUACAUCUGGAAACAACUCUCUGCUCUGCAGGCUCUACUGACACCUGGUGUGCAGCUCAUCUGCAGCCUUAUGUCCAUGAUCCCUGUGCUGCACAUGCCCACAGAGUGCCUCUGCACCCCAGAGCAACAGACCUCAUGGUGAAAACACAAGCACUGGUCAGCCACAAUUUUCUCUCAUCUCCCUUCUGGUUCAAGCAAGAAGGGAGGCUCUUCAAAUUGUGCUGUGAGCAAGGAGAUGUCAGUCUUGGGGUGACUUCCUCAAAGGAUUGGUGUUGUGACGCACAAGAGGAAACAUGCAGCAGCCAAGGCAUCAAGAGGACUGGGAGGCACGUAUGGUGCAAGCCAACCGUGCAAGUGUUGUGCUCAAGCACAAUGCUUCUAAUAGCAUGUGAGCAGGUGCUAAAUCUGUGUGUUUAUUAAAAACAAACAUGCUUAUGGUAGUGCCUCUCACAUUUUAUUAGUGGGAGUCUAUCCAAGUGCCCCCAAUACUGACAUUCCACUAUUGUCUUAAAAGAUAGAAACCACAUCCUAUGGCAAAGCAUUUGUGAGCCUUUGAGGGCUUUGUAAGUUGAACAAUCUUAGGAAUCUACCCACAGUUAAAUUUUCUGGAUUCUGCACAAGGGACAGAAAUAAGAAAAUAAAAUAAAAAAGCUUCUCUUCCAAGUCUCAGCUUGAAUUUGUAGUAUUUACAUUUUGAACAGUUUGAAAAAUGCAGCACCUUUUCCCCACUGUUCAUUAAUUGUGAUCCUCAACGGCACUUCACAGUCACUUCUGAAAUAGAAAAGAAAGUAAAGCUCAGACUGAAGAGUCCUUGAAUUGCUACAACCUACAUAAACUCAGCUCUUCAGCUCCUAUCUGCAAAGCCUCAGUGACAUAAAAUAGAAGAGACCUGACUAAAUAAGGGAUUCUGAUUUUCAGCAUGGUAAGGUCUUCUGAAAUAAAUUAUAUCCAAUUCUUAAGAACAGUGGCAGAGAUAAUGUCUGCAUAUCUAGAUUCAGAAGUCUCAAGAUGAGCUACAAUAUCUGACUUUGUUAAGUAAAUCAGCAAAGAUGACAGUACUCAGAAAAAGUUUGUUAAAGAAAGCAUGUCACUCACAUCUUUGUUAUUGACUCUCUUCACCUAUUUAAGAUUGGAGCACAAUAUAUUUAAAAUAAACCUUCCGAAUAC